rnacentral:rRNA from 1 species
UACGUAGGUGGCAAGCGUUGUCCGGAUUUACUGGGCGUAAAGAGCGCGCAGGCGGUCGUUCAAGUCGCGUGUGAAAGCCCCCGGCUCAACUGGGGAGGGUCACGCGAUACUGAUCGACUCGAAGGCAGGAGAGGGUAGUGGAAUUCCCGGUGUAGCGGUGAAAUGCGUAGAUAUCGUAAGGAAGACCAGUGGCGAAGGCGGGUCUCUGGACAGUUCCUGACGCUGAGGCACGAAGGUCAGGGGAGCAAACGGG